GAUGAAGAACGUAGCGAAAUGAGAUACGUAAUGUGAAUUGCAAAUUCAGUGAAUCAUCGAGUCUUUGAACGCACAUUGCGCCCCCUGGUAUUCCGGGGGGCAUGCCUGUCCGAGCGUCAUUGCUGCCCUCAAGCACGGCUUGUGUGUUGGGCCCCGUCCUCCGAUCCCGGGGGACGGGCCCGAAAGGCAGCGGCGGCACCGCGUCCGGUCCUCGAGCGUAUGAGGCUUUGUCACCCGCUCUGUAGGCCCGGCCGGCGCUUGCCGAUCAACCCAAAUUUUUUAUCCAGGUUGACCUCGGAUCAGGUAGGGAUACCCGCUGAACUUAAGCAUAUCAAUAAGCGGAGGA
rnacentral:misc_RNA from 1 species